GCGGCAAGAGCUCAGAUUUGAAAUCGUGUUUCGGCACGAGUUGUAGAGUGUAGGCGGGAGUCUCUGUGGAGCGCGGUGUCCAAGUCCCUUGGAACAGGGUGCCUGAGAGGGUGAGAGCCCCGUAGGGUGCUGCGCGAAGCUUUUGAGGCCCUGCUGACGAGUCGAGUUGUUUGGGAAUGCAGCUCCAAGCGGGUGGUAAAUUCCAUCUAAGGCUAAAUAUUGGCGAGAGACCGAUAGCGAACAAGUACUGUGAAGGAAAGAUGAAAAGCACUUUGAAAAGAGAGUGAAACAGCACGUGAAAUUGUUGAAAGGGAAGGGUAUUGGGCUCGACAUGGGGGGUGCGCACCGCUGUCUCUUGUAGGCGGCGCUCUGGGCGCCCUCUGGGCCAGCAUCGGUUCCUGCUGCGGGAGAAGGGGCUCCGGAAAGUGGCUCUUCGGAGUGUUAUAGCCGGGGCCAGAUGCCGCGUGUGGGGACCGAGGACUGCGGCUUCUGUCUCGGAUGCUGGCAUAACGGCGCAAUACCGCCCGUC
rnacentral:rRNA from 1 species